AGCUCCAAUAGCGUAUAUUAAAGUUGCUGCAGUUAAAAAGCUCGUAGUUGCAUUUCCGAGGCAAGGGAUUAGUCCGACCUUUGGUGGGUAUUUAAUCCUCUUGCCUCGUCCUUGAGUGGUGCUUCUUGGUAUUAAGUUAUCGAGGCGAUAGCCGCUCAUCGUUUACUGUGAGAAAAUUAGAGUGUUCAAAGCAGGCUUAUGCCGUUGAAUAUAUUAGCAUGGAAUAAUAAGAUAGGACCUCGGUACUAUUUUGUUGGUUUGAGAACCAAGGUAAUGAUGAAUAGGGACAGUUGGGGGUAUUCGUAUUCAGUUGUCAGAGGUGAAAUUCUUAGAUUUACGGAAGACGAACUACUGCGAAAGCAUUUACCAAGGAUGUUGUCA
rnacentral:rRNA from 1 species